GUUGGUGGAGUGAUUUGUCUGGUUAAUUCCGUUAACGAACGAGACCUCAGCCUGCUAACUAGUAGUGCCUAUCCUUUGUCCGUUUUCCAGCGGUUCCUUAGUACGGUUUCGCUUUGCGGUUCUUGUCUUCGGUCUCGCUUGGAUUGGGCAUCACGGGAUAGGAUAUGCUUGACGCCCUCGGCUGACAGCAGUUCGACUUCUUAGAGGGACUAUAUGUGUGUAGCAUAUGGAAGUUUGAGGCAAUAACAGG
rnacentral:rRNA from 1 species